ACAUCCUUGCUUGAACAGGAAUUGUUAUAUAGGAUUGUACCACUGCAUCCUUUACCACAAAGGUGGCAAGCACUUCAGUGUGGUUGAGGAGCCACGACCUCUAAGCCAGAGCGUGACAGACAGGAUGGUUUGGUUGUUGCCAUCCAAUGGCAGUAGAGGACCGUCCCUGCCAGGUUUAAGCCUGGUCAGGAUGGCUCAGACGUCUGAUAGACC
rnacentral:snoRNA from 2 species